GAGUGAAAUGAUGGUAUUCCAUCUUUCGGGACUGACCUGGAAUGGAGAUAACACUUCUUACUGAUCACUC
ensembl:snoRNA SNORD2 small nucleolar RNA, C/D box 2